rnacentral:rRNA from 1 species
GACGAACGCUGGCGGCGUGCUUAACACAUGCAAGUCGAACGGAAAGGCCCUGCUUUUGUGGGGUGCUCGAGUGGCGAACGGGUGAGUAACACGUGAGUAACCUGCCCUUGACUUUGGGAUAACUUCAGGAAACUGGGGCUAAUACCGGAUAGGAGCUCCUGCUGCAUGGUGGGGGUUGGAAAGUUUCGGCGGUUGGGGAUGGACUCGCGGCUUAUCAGCUUGUCGGUGGGGUAGUGGCUUACCACGGCUUUGACGGGUAGCCGGCCUGAGAGGGUGACCGGCGACAUUGGGACUGAGAGACGGACCAGACUCCUACGGGAGGCAGCAGUGGGGAAUAUUGCACAAUGGGCGGAAGCCUGAUGCAGCAACGCCGCGUGCGGGAUGACGGCCUUCGGGUUGUAAACCGCUUUCGCCUGUGACGAAGCGUGAGUGACGGUAAUGGGUAAAGAAGCACCGGCUAACUACGUG